GGGACAGAGAUGUAUGUAGAGUAUCUUCACAUGUUAAUUAAAAUCUAGGGUCAAUGGUCAGAAAGCAGUGUUAGAACCUGAUAUUUGACUAGGGAAUUGCAAACUUUGAAUGACAUCUCUAAGAUGAGAAUGAAGGCAGGAGAUUUUCACUGUAUUAAUAUUCUGAUUAGGAGAGGUAACAUCCAGGAAUAGGUGGUAGUUUAAGAAUGGAAUCUCAGCACAGAAAAUUACAUAAGUGUCCGAUAUUUUUAUUAUCUGAAUGUGACAGAGAGGACUUCUUGAAAUAAAGCUAAAAUACAUGUGCUUUCCUCCCACUGUAGAUCUCUAAAAAAUAGUAACUUAAUUCUUAAGUUUUGCAUUUCAGUGCUAUGAACAAAACCAGCAGUGGAGGGCACCAGAAAUCUGCAGGCAUUAUAGACCACAAAGAUGUAACACUGUUGCUUAAAAUACGUUAAUGAUUAACAUACUUAUUACACUGUUAUUAACACCUUGACAUUCAUUUAGCCUGACACACCGACUGGUCCAACAAGAUUCUCAUUAAUAACUCCACCGCAAGAUGGACGUAUGGGUAGUGUAUCCUACAGAAAUUCUCAAUCAUCUGGAAUAAUGUCAAGUCAAAAUAGCAGAGCAGGAUCUACAAGAUCCACGCCUAUAAGACUACCACAUAGUGGAUGUUCACUUACAUCAUCAUCUGGAUCACAAAGUAGUAGAAGGGGGUCAUGGGCUACUUCUGAUUUCAGAACGCCCCAGUUGUAUCCAUUUACAUCACCUUCCCCACAGCCCUCCUCUGUAACAAGACCACCAAUCACCAUCUCUGGACUUCUGCAAAGACAACAUAUAGGAUCGACUAAUUUUGGAGGACAUUCGGCAGAAAGAUAAGAAAACAUCUGUGAAUUGUUUUGUUCAAUAGGCAUCUGGAGAAGCUCUACAGAGUCUUUGGAUACCAAAGUAUCCAAAGUAAUUUGUAUAAAAUACCGAAUUGGCAUAAACCAGCUAACUAUUCAGCAUGAAUAAUGUAUUUAAAACAUCACUGAUCUUGCUGAUUAACAUGUACAGUAGUUUUAAAUGAGAGUACAAAAUCCUCUUGCUGUUU
rnacentral:lncRNA from 1 species